rnacentral:rRNA from 1 species
AGUGAACGCUGGCGGUAGGCCUAACACAUGCCAGUCGAACGGCAGCACAGUAAGAGCUUGCUCUUACGGGUGGCGAGUGGCGGACGGGUGAGGAAUACAUCGGAAUCUACUUUUUCGUGGGGGAUAACGUAGGGAAACUUACGCUAAUACCGCAUACGACCUACGGGUGAAAGCAGGGGAUCUUCGGACCUUGCGCGAUUGAAUGAGCCGAUGUCGGAUUAGCUAGUUGGCGGGGUAAAGGCCCACCAAGGCGACGAUCCGUAGCUGGUCUGAGAGGAUGAUCAGCCACACUGGAACUGAGACACGGUCCAGACUCCUACGGGAGGCAGUAGUGGGGAAUAUUGGACAAUGGGCGCAAGCCUGAUCCAGCCAUACCGCGUGGGUGAAGAAGGCCUUCGGGUUGUAAAGCCCUUUUGUUGGGAAAGAAAAGCAGCAGGUUAAUACCCCGCUGUUCUGACGGUACCCAAAGAAUAAGCACCGGCUAACUUCGUG